CAGCCGCCGCGGUAAUACGUAGGUGGCAAGCGUUGUCCGGAAUCAUUGGGCGUAAAGCGCGCGCAGGCGGUCCUUUAAGUCUGAUGUGAAAUCUUGCGGCUCAACCGCAAGCGGUCAUUGGAAACUGGGGGACUUGAGUGCAGGAGAGGAAAGCGGAAUUCCAUGUGUAGCGGUGAAAUGCGUAGAGAUAUGGAGGAACACCAGUGGCGAAGGCGGCUUUCUGGCCUGUAACUGACGCUGAGGCGCGAAAGCGUGGGGAGCAAACAGGAUUAGAUACCCGGGUAGUCCACGCCGUAAACGAUGAGUGCUAAGUGUUGGAGGGUUUCCGCCCUUCAGUGCUGCAGCUAACGCAUUAAGUGCCCCGCCUGGGGAGUACGGCCGCAAGGUUGAAACUUAAAGGAAUUGGCGGG
rnacentral:rRNA from 1 species